GAGAACAUAGCUUAGUUGGUUAGAGUAUUGGCUUGUCACGCCAGAGGUCGCGGGUUCAAAUCCCGUUGUUCUCG
rnacentral:tRNA from 2 species